AUGGACUUUUUUUCUUUUGGUAUUUUUUUUCUCGUUUUUGGUUCCUUAUUUUUUGGCUUCCCUGUUCGUUCUUAUAUUUUUAUUUAUAUUUUUCCUUUGGAUUUUCCUUUUUCCCACUUUCUUUUUGUUUUUAAUCUACAAAAAUAA
rnacentral:rRNA from 1 species